CUCAGGCCCUAUUUGGUUGGCCAAAUUAGACUGGACUUUUCUAAUUAAAAUAGACUAUAGUCCUAACCGUUGUUUAGUGAAUUUAAAUACAUAUCGGACUGGUUGAGACUUUUUUUUUGCUCCAGAUAAGAACCAUUGUAUGAGGGUUUUGUAAACCCAAGCGGAGCCACAGGUUUCGAAGCCUCCGCCUUCUCACGUCUCAUCUCUUCGUCUCUCUACGUCUUUUCUCUUCGUUUGUUAGAAGCAGGGCAAAACUCUGUAAUUGCUACUCAAAUUAGGGAGUUAGUUCAACUUGACCUAAUUGUAAGGUUUGAUUGGGACUUUGAUCACUACUUGGAAGAGGAUCUGCUUGUUGCAUUGAGGUGACAACCCCUUAAUGAUCAAGCAUCUGAGAGUAACAUUCCUGUUGUACAGUUGGAUGGGAGCCAUAAUAAUGAUCAAACUCAUGCUCAAUCCAAAUCAUCAUCAUCAAGGAAAUAAAAUGGUUGAUGGUUUGGGAAGAAUUGCCAAUGCAUUUGAGAGUAUGAUGGAGAACUCCGACGCCAAAAUGCAAAGGUUGGUUGAGAGCCUAAAAAAGCAGAAUGCAGAUGAUGAUCAUAAAUUUGUUGGAGAUGAGUUAAAAAAGAUGGAAUUUUCUGUUUCAUAUAGAAUCUCUUUACUUAAUUUAUUUAUUGAAUCGGCAAAAGUGCAUGUGUUGAAGACAUUAGAUGAGGGUGAUGAUGGGUACGAGUAUGUGACGACAUUGCUUAGAGAUCAUAGAUCUCGUGGUUGAGAUGUAGUUUUGAGUAUUUACUUUGUUAUAUUUUGGACUUGUUGUAUUUUGAUGGGCAAAAUCAAAUAGGUAUUUAAUUGCUUUGUUAAAUUUGGAUAUGUUUUUAGCUAUUUUAGAAGUAGUAUGUGAUAGGGCUUUCUCAAUUUUAAUUAUGUGCAUUUUUUUAAUAAGUGCAAAAAAAAAAAAAAGAAUUAAAAAAAUAUUUUGA